rnacentral:lncRNA from 1 species
GGCUUUCACACAUUGUUUUCUCAUUGGGACUUCAACAAAUCUUAGAAGAAUCAAUGUUUCUAUUGUUACUUUGACAUAAUUUAGGGCCAGGACUCCCUCAGUUGAGAAAGCAUCCCAUCUGUCUAAAUAAAAGUCCAUUUUCCAGACAACUUCACUAGGGAAAUUUAUACAUUACACAAAAUGUAAAUAAGAAAAAUACAGUGCCUCAGAUCUUCUGCCGUCCUUCAAAAUUAGAAAACCGGUUUCACUGCAAUAACUUAUUUUCAGAAAUCAUAAGUUACAAUAUUAUAAAAUCCUCUGUAAUUUCUUUUACUCACUCCAAGCCACAGAAAGAAUUCCCCUCAUUUCAAUUCUGGGUUCCUUAUUUGCUAUAGCAUGUGGAAGUGACUGAUUUGACCUAUAUAUAUAUUCUUCAGCACUUCCAAUAUUGGAGAAAAUUAGUCCAUUGUAAAACUAUUCCCAUAAAGAAGCAUCAUUAGAAAACAGCACUGGAUUUCAAUAACCAUGUACAGCCACCAGAAUAUUCACAGCCAAGCUAUAAUACAGUAGUUGAAAUUUCCCCAGGGCACAAACUCUACCUCAAACUCAGUACACCAAGAAAUCCACUGCAUUGGUAUUACCAGUUUCUGGCCUACUUAAAGUAUCGAGAAGUAGAUGCUUAAAACAAAACAGGGGCACCUGGCUGCCUCAGUCGAUAGAGCAUGCAACUCUUGAUCAUAGCAUCAUGAGUUUUAUCUCCAUACAAGGUUGUAGAGAUUACUUAAAAAUAAAAUCCUCGGGUGCCUGAGUAGCUCAGUGGCUGAGCGUCUGCCUUUGGCUCAGGUCGUGAUCCCAGGGUCCCGGGAUCAAGUCCCACAUCGGGCUCCCCCCGCUGGGAGCCUGCUUUUCUCUCUGCGUGUCUCUCUCAUGAAUAAAUAAAUCAAUCUUUUUAAAAAAAUCCUCAAGAAAAAAACCCCAUAAAGUACUUCAAGUUAUGUUGUUCUGUGACUAACAGAACACAAACAAGAUAAACUUUGCAUCCAAGUAGAAGUUUUAGGCAGAAAUUACCAUGUCCUGGAAAUCAACACACUAUUCACUGAGAUCACAUCCAUUUUUCAAAAAAAUUCAUGGAUACUUGUAAAUUUUUUUGGUCAUUUUAUCCAAUGUGAACUUGGUGAAAAUUUGUAUACUCGAUUCAUUACCAAAAGAAAUUUACUUCCUCAAUUGAAGUACAUAAUUUAAAUGUGUAUUGGUAAUUUUUUCUCUGUAUAAAAACCAAGGCAUUUUCUACAUGUCCUGCUGCAAUCAUUUACUGACUUCUCAGAUCUGAGCCAGAAACUCCCAAACUGCCUAAGCCCUCCAGAUGACCCUUAAAGUAUACUAAAGUUGAGAAAGUUUGAUGCAAUCUAAGUUGUCUAGAAAUAUAUAACUCUAUCCUUUCCAGUAAUUGUAUAAGGAACAAAGAGUUGAUCAACACAUAUUCUUGAUCAGAGUAAUUUCAACAGUAGAUAUAAUACUGCCAAGCCAUCUCCAGAAAAGAGACACACAGGGUCUAACAUUACAAAGCUGGCUGAGACCCAUACAUUGAAGUUAACAACAAAGAAGCCGAUAAAUGGUUGUAAUUCUGACUCCUAACCUACAUUGACUUGUCCAAUAUUUAAACAGGGGAGCUUUCCUAUUUCUAACAAUUUAAAGAAUCCUAACACUGCUCUCAAUUUACAAGUUUCCAUCACACUUCUACAACACUAAGCAGAUGCUAUAAUCACUUAAACCUUGUCUUUUUUCCUUCUCACCUUCCUUUAUCAUAUACACCUAUGCUCUUACCAUCUAUUGCUAAUUUGUUCCUUCUAAAAACUCUCACCAAAGUUCCUAUCAUAAAUUAGCUUGGCUGAACCCCGCAUUCUCUUUGUAGGAAUGAAUGUUGUCAUCAGGUUCAAUAAACAAGGAGUCUAAUCAUCAGAGCCAAUUCCCCCUUCCAAAAAAGGACAAAAACUGAUCAUUCUCUAGAGAUUCCUAUUAUGGAGGAUUUUCUUUAGAUGCAGCACCCCAAGAAAUGGGUUAUGUGGGGGCAUCUAGGUGGCACAGUUGUUUAAGUGGCCAACUCCUGGUUAAUGGAGUAUACAACUCUCAUGGUCCUGGGAUUGAGCCCUGCAUUGGGCUCUGCCCUCAGCAUGUAGCAAUAUACAGAAAGCUUCAGAUUCUCUCUUCCUCUCCCUCCUGCUCCUGUUCUUUCUCAAAUUAAUUAAUUAAAGUUUUUAAAAUGGCAUUUUUUGGACAGAGUUGAGAUAGCAAAUACCACUGCAUGCUUUCUCACUGUAUUAACUGACCACCUUAGGCUGUACCAAACAUCCAAGAUUAAAUGACCUUAAAUUAACACUACUCCCCCACAGACUGCAAGGAGUAUUUCCUUUCUCCCUCAUUCAAAAGUAUGUUUCUAAUCGAAUUCAGUUAUAGUAACUGAAUUCAUCUAGCAUAUCCUUACUUGGGCAGAAUCAGGAACAUGGAAAAAAGCCAAACAAAUAUGAGGUUAUAAAUAUUAUAAAAUUUCCGGCAGGGAGAAACAGGGAGUUGAUAAGGGAAAGACCUGUGAAAAGACUUGCUCCUUUAAAAAAAUGUGAUUUUUCUGAAUCCCAAAAGCUUUUCCUAUAAACUACUACUUGUCAUAGUAUCAACACCCAUGUUAUUUAUACAUACAUACAUACAUACACACAAACAUACAUACCCUAUCUUUCCUUAUCAAAUUAAGGAAUCUAAGGAUAAAAUCCUGGUAUAUUCAACUUAUCUAUGGUACUUUAUGAAGUUUUCCAAAAUUAUCUAAUUACCACUCAAUACCCUCAUAACUAUAAUAAAGCAAAUCACAAGGACCUAAUCACAGAAUGCCAAUUAUAUAUAACAAAAGCUCCAUUACUCAUACAAGAUAAAUAAUGAAGAAUACUAGCAGAUUAAAGCCUUGAUUCAAAAUAAAUGCAUGGUAUUUAUUAGCAAAUAAGUUCCUCUCCAGGGCUCCAUAUUAAAUGCAAAUUGCCAAUUUCAUCCCCUUGAAUCAAAAUGAGUCAGAGCUUCUAAAUUUCCAUCUAGGACUCACCAAUAUACAGAAAGUGGUAACUUCCUAAGGGAAUUAGAGUAACCCAUCUGAUGUAUCUUUAAGCAUUCUGCCUAAGGUGUAAAUUCGCAUUUCAGACCAAAGCAAUGUCAACAACAAACCAGCAAUUUCUUAUUCAUGUGGUAAUUGGCACUUCCUCAUAGUUUCCAGACACGCUCUUGGGAAACAAGUAUAAGCACUGGAGCUGAAUGACAUAGUAAUAUUUACAUAGUUCAUAUAAUAAUAUAUUUAUAUAUUAUAUAUAUAAGAAACAAAAACAAAACCAUGAGUCACCUGGGUGGCUCAGUCAGUUAAGUGACUGCUUUGGCUCAAGUCAUGAUCUGGGGGUCCUGAAUCAUCAGGCUCCCUUGCUCAGUGGGGAUUCUGCUUCUCCCUUUCCUUCUGCUGCUCCCCCUGCUUGUGCUCUCUGUCAAAUAAAUAUUUUUAAAAACACAUACAACAUAAUAGUUACUAAUUCUUUACUCUUGAAAUUAUCACUUGAAAUUCAUAAUGAAAAAGAUACACAAAUGCUACAUAGAAGAUACUCUACAAAAAGAAAACGCAGGGGAUCCCUGGGUGGCGCAGUGGUUUGGUGCCUUUCUUUGCCCCAGGGCGUGAUCCUGGAGACCCGGGAUCGAAUCCCACAUCGGGCUCCCGGUGCAUGGAGCCUGCUUCUCCCUCUGCCUGUGUGUGUCUCUGCCUCUCUCUCUCACUGUGUGCCUAUCAUAAAUAAAUUUUAAAAAAUUAUUAAAAAAAAAAAAAAAAG